UACGUAGGAGACAAACGUUAUUCGGAUUUACUGGGCGUAAAGCGGGUGUAGACGGCUUCUUAAGUCGGUUGUGAAAUCUCCUGACUUAAUUGGGAGGAGUCAAUCGAUACUGAGAAGCUAGAGGGCAGCAGAAGAAAGCGGAAUUCCCGGUGUAGCGGUGAUAUGCGUAGAUAUCGGGAGGAAUACCAGUGGCGAAGGCGGCUUUCUAGGUUGUUCCUGACGUUGAUGCCCAAAAGCGUGGGGAGCGAAACGG
rnacentral:rRNA from 2 species